UACGGCAAUAUCACGCUGAAACACCGGUUCCUGUACGUUCAUGGAAGUUAAGCAACGUCUAACCCGGUUAGUACCAAGAUGGGUGACCACUUGGGAAAUCCAG